rnacentral:rRNA from 1 species
AACGAACGCUGGCGGCGCGCUUAACACAUGCAAGUCGAACGAGAAGGCGUAGCAAUACGCUGGUACAGUGGCGAACGGGUGAGGAAUACAUGGGUAACCUACCCUCGAGUGGGGAUAACCCGCCGAAAGGCGGGCUAAUACCGCGUACGCUUCCGAUCUUGCGGGAUCGGAAGGGAAAAGCUGUCCCAAGGGGAUGGCGCUCAAGGAUGGGCUCAUGUCCUAUCAGCUUGUUGGAGGGUAACGGCCUACCAAGGCAUCGACGGGUAGCUGGUCUGAGAGGACGAUCAGCCACACUGGCACUGCGACACGGGCCAGACUCCUACGGGAGGCAGCAGUGAGGAAUAUUGCGCAAUGGGCGAAAGCCUGACGCAGCGACGCCGCGUGGGGGA